GACGAACGCUGGCGGCGUGCCUAACCCAUGCAAGUCGAACGAGCAGAGACCUUCGGGUCGAAGCGAGUGGCGGACGGGUGAGUAACGCGUGAACAACCAACCCUGCACAGGGGGACAACAGCUGGAAACGGCUGCUAAUACCGCAUAAGACCACAGAGCCGCAUGGCUUAGGGGUCAAAGGAGAAAUCCGGUGCAGGACGGGUUCGCGUCCCAUUAGCUAGUAGGCGGGGUAACGGCCCACCUAGGCAACGAUGGGUAGCCGAGCUGAGAGGCUGAUCGGCCACACUGGGACUGAGAUACGGCCCAGACUCCUACGGGAGGCAGCAGGGGGGAAUAUUGGGCAAUGGGGGAAACCCUGACCCAGCAACGCCGCGUGAAGGAAGAAGGGCCCUUCGGGUUGUAAACGUUACUGUGACAGGGGACGAAGGAAAAUAGACGGUACCCUGAGAGGAAGCUCCGGC
rnacentral:rRNA from 1 species